CCUUCGGGUGAUUCUGGUUGGGGGAAGCGGCGAAAGGGGCAGUAAUGCGUGGGCAACCUACCUUGGGGAUGAGGAUAGCCGCGGUCCGUUGGACCUACCGAAAGGGCGGGUAAUACUCGGUGAUGUCGGUUUUUCGCAUGAUAGACCGAUGAAAUGAAUUUCGCCUCGAGAGGGGCUCACGUGGUAUUAGCUUGUUGGUGAGGUAACGGCUCACCAAGGCCGAGAUGCCUAGCUGGUGUGAGAGCAUGACCAGCGCCACUGGGACUGAGACACUGCCCAGACUCCUACGGGGGGCUGCAGUCGAGAAUCUUCCGCAAUGGACGAAAGUCUGACGGAGCGACGCCGCGUGAAUGAUGAAGGCCUUCGGGUUGUAAAGUUCACUCCGGAGGGAGAAAACAAUGAUCGACCUCCGGGAAGCACGGGCUAAGUUCGUGCCAGCAGCCGCGGUAAGACGAACCGUGCGAACGUUGUUCGGAAUCACUGGGCUUAAAGGGCGCGUAGGCGGGCAGCCAAGUCAGAGGUGAAAUCCUUCGGCUCAACCGAAGAAGUGCCUUUGAUACUGGUCGUCUCGA
rnacentral:rRNA from 1 species